rnacentral:rRNA from 1 species
GACUGUAACACCCUGAACAUGCCUGCUCUCAUCUGAUCUUGGAAACUAAGCAGGGUAUGGCCUGGUUAGUACUUGGAUGGAAAGGUUCCCUGAAUGAGUUGAAGUUGAGGCUCUGAGCACCUGGCUAGGCU